CCUCUACUACUGUGCAUAAAACUUGAAGAGUUGGAGGCCAUGUUCACCAGCCCAGAAGAUAUACGUACACUUGGGAUUUUUGAGUUGUGUGGUGGACGGAGGGGUUAGUCUUAAACACUACUGAUGAACCUAUGUGAUUGCUGCCUGUUUCCCGCCAAAUAACAGGGCAGUCACGGCUUAUCCUUUCUGGCUCCCCUUUUACCACCUUCUCCUGGAAUUUACCUGACCUCCUCUUCUCACAGCUUGGCAGGCUCUAGAGAGACUGACCUCUGCAGAUGGUUUAAAGGGAGAAGCUCAAGGGUCCACAGUUCACAGGGCUGCCAAUCAGGCCUGUGCAGAAAACUCAACAGUCUAAAAGAAUAUAUGAAGACAGAACCUCAACCUAGAAGAAAUGGACAAAUUCCCAGACACAUCAAGGAAUUCCUAGACAAACUAUCAAAACUGAAUCAUGAUUAGAUAGAAAAUCUGAACAGAUCAAUAUAAGUAAAGAGAUUAAAGCAGUAAUAAACUCUCCCAUCAAAGAAAAGCUCAGGACCUGAUGGCUUCACUGCUGAAUUCUACCAAACGUUUAAAGAACUAACACCAAUGAUUCUCAAACUCUUUUUAAAAAUUGAAGAUGAGAGAACACUUCCAAAUUCAUAUCACGAGGCCAGCAUUACCCUGAUACCAACGCCAGACAAAGACACUAUAAGAAAAGGCAAUUAUGGACCAAUAUCCCUGAUAAACAUGGAUGUAAAAAUCCUCAUCAAAAUACUAGCAAAUGAAAUUCAACCACAAAUUUAAAAAAGCAUUCACCAUGAUCGAGUGGGAUUUAUCCCUGGGAUGCAGGAAGU
ensembl:lncRNA novel transcript